rnacentral:rRNA from 1 species
GUCUAUGGCCAUGCCACCCUGAAUGUGCCUGAUCUCGUCUGAUCUUGGAAGCUAAGCAGGAUCGGGCCUGGUUAGUACUUGGAUGGGAGAGUGUUUACAAAUACAGAUGAAGUUC